CCGGACCUUCCGCCUUCGAUUUAAAAAUUUGGCGCGGAAAGCGGGACCGUAGCUGGCACCGCCCCCGAGUGCGCGGGGCUGGAGCGCGGGCGAGCCCCUCCCCCGCCCUCUGCGCGGGAGCUCGGCUCCUCCCCACGGGCCCCGGCGGGGCGGGAGGCGGGAAACGGCCGCCUUCACCCUGGCCUUCCCGGGAUCCCACAACCCCGCCGCAGCAGUCUGCUCCCCGCUCACCUGUCAAUCCUCCUUCAGAGCUGACGGUCCGGGGUGGCCCCGAAUCCUGGCUGCGCGUCUCAGGGAGCCAGCGCGUCUCAGGGAGACUCGCUUAGCCCCGCCGCGCAGAGGGCAAAUUUUUGGUGAAUCUUUUGGAGAGGAAAAUAUGUUCAAAGAGAUACUGGACCACAAAAGAGAUCACAGGAUUUGCUUCAAAUCAACGGAAACAGCGGGACAGCAGUCUCUCUUGCCACAGAUCUUCUACUGGGGAUUCCUAGGUUAUUUAAGCUUCUGCAAUGUGGCCCCUGGACAAAUGGUUUGGAAACAGGACUUGGGGGUAAGUUGCUUGAACUCUCUUGGGUGUU
rnacentral:lncRNA from 1 species